rnacentral:rRNA from 1 species
AACGAACGCUGGCGGCGCGCCUAAUACAUGCAAGUCGAGCGAGAAGACGUAGCAAUACGUUUAGUAAAGCGGCGAACGGGUGAGGAAUACAUGGGUAACCUACCCUCGAGUGGGGAAUAACUAGCCGAAAGGUUAGCUAAUACCGCGUACGCUCCUUGGACUUCGGUUCAGGGAGGAAAGCGAUACCGUGGGUAUCGCGCUCUUGGAUGGGCUCAUGUCCUAUCAGCUUGUUGGUGAGGUAACGGCUCACCAAGGCUUCGA